rnacentral:rRNA from 1 species
AGACGACGCUGGCGGCGCGCUUAACACAUGCAAGUCGUGCGGUACCGAGGGUAAGUCCUUACAGACGAGCCCUCGGUACAGCGGCGGACGGGUGAGUAACACGUGAGUAGCUGUCCUAAGGAGGGGGAUAACGCCUGGAAACGGGUGCUAAUACCCCAUAUGCCUCGCAAGAGGUGAAAGUGUACUCGUUACAGCCUUAGGGUGUGCUCGCGGCCUAUCAGCUAGUUGGUGAGGUAACGGCUCACCAAGGCUAAGACGGGUAGCCGGCCUGAGAGGGUGUACGGCCACACUGGAAUUGAGAUACGGUCCAGACUCCUACGGGAGGCAGCAGUGGGGAAUCUUGGGCAAUGGGCGAAAGCCUGACCCAGCGACGCCGCGUUGGGGAUGAAGCCCUUCGGGGCGUAAACCCAUGUUGUAGGGGACGAAGAAAGUGACGGUACCCUACGAGAAAGCCCCGGCCAACUACGUG